rnacentral:rRNA from 1 species
UAGGGAAUCUUCCGCAAUGGGCGAAAGCUUGACGGAGCAACGCCGCGUGAGUGAUGAAGGUCUUCGGAUCGUAAAACUCUGUUAUUAGGGAAGAACAAAUGUGUAAGUAACUAUGCACGUCUUGACGGUACCUAAUCAGAAAGCCACGGCUAACUACGUGCCAGCAGCCGCGGUAAUACGUAGGUGGCAAGCGUUAUCCGGAAUUAUUGGGCGUAAAGCGCGCGUAGGCGGUUUUUUAAGUCUGAUGUGAAAGCCCACGGCUCAACCGUGGAGGGUCAUUGGAAACUGGAAAACUUGAGUGCAGAAGAGGAAAGUGGAAUUCCAUGUGUAGCGGUGAAAUGCGCAGAGAUAUGGAGGAACACCAGUGGCGAAGGCGACUUUCUGGUCUGUAACUGACGCUGAUGUGCGAAAGCGUGGGUAUCAAACAGG